rnacentral:tRNA from 1 species
GCCUGGCUGGCUCAGUUGGAAGAGCGUGUGACUCUUGAUCUCAGGGUUGUGAGUUCAAGCCCCAUGUUGGGAG